GUCCAGACUCCUACGGGAGGCAGCAGUGGGGAAUAUUGGGCAAUGGACGCAAGUCUGACCCAGCAACGCCGCGUGAAGGAAGAAGGCUUUCGGGUUGUAAACUUCUUUUAAGGGGGAAGAGCAGAAGACGGUACCCCUUGAAUAAGCCACGGCUAACUACGUGCCAGCAGCCGCGGUAAUACGUAUGGUGCAAGCGUUAUCCGGAUUUACUGGGUGUAAAGGGAGCGUAGGCGGCGCGUUAAGUCUGAUGUGAAAACCCGAGGCUCAACCACGGGAGUGCAUUGGAAACUGGCGGGCUGGAGUGCCGGAGAGGUAAGCGGAAUUCCUAGUGUAGCGGUGAAAUGCGUAGAUAUUAGGAGGAACACCAGUGGCGAAGGCGGCUUACUGGACGGCAACUGACGCUGAGGCUCGAAAGCGUGGGGAGCAAACAGGAUUAGAUACCCGGGUAC
rnacentral:rRNA from 1 species